ACAACCAUUUUGGUCCCUGAUUGUGUUCACUUAUGAAGAACCAGUCCUCAUACUUUGAAAAUGGUCAUUUUUCGUCCCUGAAUUUGUCGUCGUCGGUCAAGUUAGUCCUUGAUUGAGUUUUCCGUUAGUCCCUCGGACGGAAAAGUCCAAAUGUCACCAUUUUUGCCACAUUGGCUUGACACGUCAUCAAUUACUCACAUCUUAUUAUGUCAAUUUAGUCCUCUAUAAAAAUUAAAAAAAAAUCGAAAUUUAUUAAUUCAAAUUAAAUUUAUAUUAGUAAAUUCACAACAUCUUCAUCACCUUCAUCCACAACAUCAUCAUAUCCAUUCAGUAAAGAAAUUCUAAACAAUUGUUUUUUAGAAAGUUGAAUUUUAUUCAAGCAAAAUGACAAGAUACAGCAACCGGUGGCACUGGGCACACCCAGAGAUUAGGAAAAGAAAAGUACAAAGCAAAAAUGAAGAAAAAUAACAUAGCAACAGAAAUUGACAGCAGGUAAACAACAUCUUUAGAAGGUUAAGCAUUGAGAGCCAGUAUUCCCUGGAGCCAAAUAGACAGAAGAAAAAAAACCUUGCAGCAGAGGACACAACUCGAAGCUAUUGGUCUGAAGAUUAAUUUUUCCAAAAAAAAAAAAGCAUUUUUAACAAAUUCAAACCCAUCCUCACCUCCAAUUUCAGAAUUACAACGAAACAAACAGAACCCUAAACACAUUUUUCAAUUCGCGUUCUUACCUCCUCUUCUGUCUCUCUGCAAUUGCCUUCUUCAACCUUCUCCAGCUUCAAUUUCAGAGCUUCAAUCCAACCCAAUUAACCUUUUCCUCGCAGAUGCAUAUCUAGAGUUGCAGAGGGCUCUGGUGUUGGCUGGUGACGAACGAAUCGAUAAGAAGCAUGCCUUACCUCCACGAAGGGAUGAUGACCGCGACGACCAUUAUGUGUAUCAUCUCGGCGAAAAUCUCACUCCUAGAUCCAAGCACCCUGCGUGCAAAACCCUCACUCUCUCCCUCUUAUUCUCUAUCACAACUUCCCCCUUUCUUCCCUAAACAAAACCCUAAUUCCUCUCCCCCCUCUCUCCUCCAAUGGCGAAAUUCAUCAGCCCAAACGCCAUCCCCUGACUCUUCCUCAGAUCUCCCCGAAAUCAUCGUCCAAGUCGUCGAUCUCAAGCAAAGUGUUGCUGGCAUUGUUUUGAAGCCCAGGGAGGAUUAUGGAGUCAAGAGCGAAGCUGCUGUUGCUGCUACUGGGUUCUUAGUUCUCUCUUUGAGAUUUGGAUACAAUUUUUUUGUUUUUUUAGCUUUUAAUUUUGCUGAUCUCGUUAGUUUAUUUUCAUGGAGGAUGAGGGGAUUUUGUGUUCUAUGAAAGAAGAAGGUGAGAUUGAGGAUGAAGAUAAAGAUGAAGAUGAGGUUGAAGAUAAUUAGGUGAUUUUUUGUAAUUUGAAUUAAUAAAUUCAAAGUAUUUUUAUUUUAUUUU